rnacentral:lncRNA from 1 species
GAACCUCUGUUCCGUAGUCACAUCUUCGAAUCGGAGCGUCAGUAGGCCUUCUUUGCACAUGUCCAAACCACCGUAACCGAUUUUCUCUCAUCUUUCCUUCAACUUCGGCUACUCCUACUUUACCUCGGAUAUCCUCAUUCACAAUCUUAUCCUUUCUCGUGUGCCCACACAUCCCACGAAGCAUCCUUAUCUCCGCUACACCCAUUUUGUGUACAUGUUGAUGCUUCACCGCCCAACAUUCUGUGCCAUACAACAUCGCUGGCCUUAUUGCCGUCCUAUAAAAUUUUCCCUUGAGCUUCAGUGACCUACGACGGUCACACAACACGCCGGAUGCACUCUUACACUUCAUCCAUCCA